UUCCGGUUGAUCCUGCCGGAAAGCCCCGGCUAACUACGUCCCAGCAGCCGCGGUAAUACGUAGGGGGCGAGCGUUAUCCGGAUUUAUUGGGCGUAAAGCGUGUGUAGGCGGUUUAUUAAGUUUAAGAUUAAAGCCCGAGGCUCAACCUCGGUACGUCUUAAAAACUGGUAGACUUGAGUGUAGUAGAGGCAAGUGGAAUUUCUAGUGUAGCGGUUAAAUGCGUAGAUAUUAGAAGGAACACCGGUGGCGAAGGCGACUUGCUGGGCUAUUACUGACGCUGAGACACGAAAGCGUGGGGAGCAAAUAGGAUUAGAUACCCUAGUAGUCCACGCCGUAAACUAUGAGUACUAAGUGUCGGGCAAC
rnacentral:rRNA from 1 species